rnacentral:rRNA from 1 species
GACGAACGCUGGCGGCGUGCUUAACACAUGCAAGUCGAACGGAAAGGCCCUGCUUUUGUGGUGUGCUCGAGUGGCGAACGGGUGAGUAACACGUGAGUAACCUGCUCUUUACUUUGGGAUAACUACAGGAAACUGGGGCUAAUACCGGAUAGGAGCUCCUGCUGCAUGGUGGGGGUUGGAAAGUUUCGGCGGUUGGGGAUGGACUCGCGGCUGAUCAGCUUGUGGGUGGGGUAGUGGAUUACCAAGGCUUUGACGGGUAGCCGGCCUGAGAGGGUGACCGGCCACAUUGGGACAGAGAUGCGGCCCAGACUGAUACGGGAGGCAGCAGUGGGGAAUAUUGCGCAAUGGGCGGAAGCCUGAUGCAGCAACGCCGCGUGCGGGAUGACGGCCUUCGGGUUGUAAACCGCUUUCGCCUGUGACGAAGCGUGAGUGACGGUAAUGGGUAAAGAAGCACCGGCUAACUACGUG